GAAAAUAUUCAGUUUAAAUCCAUUUACCGGAAGCUUAAGUGUCUAUUUCUUUCAUUUUCUAAAUUAUGCCUUAUUUCUAAUCCAUUGGUAGCUAUUUCUUGAAGAGGAUAAAGAAACAAAUACUUGAAAAGAGCUAGUUUUGUUCGCAGUCGAUUCUUCUUUAUGUUUCUGUUUUUGGUUUUGAUUUCGAAAGAAAUUUGAGAUCUAUUUUCUUGAAUAUAUCAGACGUUAGUUAGGUUUAUCCUGCAGUUUGCACCCCUGUAUAAAGGUAAUUAUGUAGAAGUAAAAGUGAUCUUGUCUAUUUAUUUAAAAUGACAGAUGUCUCAGAAACUUUCCCAAUAUCCAGCUUAUGGAGGAUCUAUAAAUAAAAAAUAAAAAGAUUUACUCAAAUUUGAACUUCUGGAUAUUAGUUUGACUCUUGAUUUUUGCUAAUUGGCAGGCUCGAGUGAUGGUAGUAUCUAUGCUUGGAGUGUUCGGAAUGGAAUGGCAAAGAAGUAUGAUUCAUAUCUCUUAUUUUUUUAUCGCCUUACAUCCACAUCUCCCAUUCCUCCCCCUCCCCUCCCCUCCCCUUCCCUUCCCUUCCGACCCAUCACUUCUUUUGUUAUUUAUCUGGUUUUCUAGGUCUCUUGUUUUGUGAUGCUUUUUUAUUGGUCAUAAAAUCAAAGCAGACGGGAACAUUUUUGAUUCUCUAAACAAGCAGGUUUUGGGUUAUUUUAUUGUUUUAGCACCCUAGUUCUCUUGUUGGUUUUGAUACCAUGAAAUAAAAUAGAGAAAAAGACCUUCAAGGGAAUCAAGAAAUCAAAAUAUUUUCAACAGAAAACUCCAGUGAACCACUUUCGUUGAAGGAGGUUUCUACAGGAAGAGUUGCAACUCAGCGUAAUUAAUGGACUGUGGAAUUGAUAUCCUGCUCCAUAAUUCUGUUGUCAAACUUAAUUCCAAACUCCUCAUAUUAGUGAAUCUCAGCCAACGAAACACCUAAAUUUUAGAUAUGCACUUUCACCAUAAAAAAUGUUUGUUCAAAUCUAAUUAGAUAAGUUUUUACUGAAAUUACCAACUUUUAUCCCGAAUCACAAGUAUUUAUAUAUCAAGGGAGAUGCACAGUGGUGACGCGGUGAGACUGGAGUGUGGCGGCGAUGUGCUCUGGUGGCGGAGUGUUUGUCACGGUGGGAAUGUAAGUGAUUCCGAUGAUGGGGAUUGUACUUCCGGCGGCAGUGGUGGUGGCCGCCGCGGUGGAGGCAGUCUACAAGGCUCUAUAAAUUUAAAAUUUUUAUUAAUAAUUUAGAUUUAUAUCUUUCUCUUACCGAUUAAGAGAAACAAAAUUUUACCAACACAAUUUUAUCAUCUUAUCUUACCAAAUUAAAUACAAAGUUGUUAAGAGAUAAACAAAUACAACUUUAAUUGUAAGACCCCUUUUUUUUAUGAAUAAAGAUGAUUUUUUUUUCUAUAAAUAUCAUUUUUGAAUAUUAUGGAAUGAAUUUAAUAUAAUGUUAUAGUUGUGAGUAAUAUUUAUAAAUUUUGCAAAGUAUGCAAGUUGUCAUAUUAUAUUCGAUUGGUCGGAAAAUAUUUUUUUUGUCAGGGAAUAUUCGUACGAUGGUACAAUCAUUGGUGGCCCCACAAUGGAAUUAUUGUCGGAUUGAGAAAACGACAAAAAUAUUUUAUUGAAAAUAACGGCAGAAGUUUUACCAUUAAUACUGUUGAACUACUCAGUGGUAAAAGUACAGUAAUACGCGUGGUUGCAUAGUAGCACACGGUAUUGAUUAUUGAUGCUUAUGUGAGAAGUCAUCUCAGUUUUGUUUUAUUACUUAUAUAUAUAUAUAUAUAAGGUAUGUAUUUAUAUAUAUUAUAUAUAAGUAAAGUUGUCAAUUUGGGUGGGGGGUAGGAAGAUUUGGUUUAUACGGAGAGGGAGUACAAUUAUUAUCAUUAUAUAUAUAUAUAAUUUGUCACAUGUUUUGAGGAUGGUGGGGGGAGGUUCACGACAAAUCAAAGAAAAAAAGGGGAAGGAUUGCUUGGAAAAGAGGGAGUUACAUUAUUAUUAUUAUUAUAUUUAUAUAUAUGUAAUUUAGUUGACAACUUGGUAAGGCUGAUCACGGGAGUGUAUCCCGUGAAAAAUUUUACACAUGCUAUAUAUAUAUUUAAUAUAUAUAAUAUAUAAUAUAUUUUAUUUAAAAGAUUUUGCUUUAAAUAUGGAUCGUCCGAUUAAAAGUAAAUCAAUCUGGACCGUUCAUGAAUUAGUUACUAUGCAGUCCAUUCUUCUAUAAAUAGAAGCUCAUUCCUUCAUUAUUUUCUUACGAAUUCACUGAACUCUAGAGAGAGAAAUUAUAGAGAGAAAGAAGAAGAGUUUUAUGUUACUUCACUACUCUGAUAUCAAGUUUAUUUUACGGUAAGGGGUAUUAUUUAUUUCUUAUUCAUGAAGAGAACUUCUGUUAUUCCAUUCUUUAUUAUUCUGUUGGAAUAACCUGUAUACGCAGUCUACCCUAUACUUGGUGAUUUCUGUUGUUAUUUCAUUCUUUAUUAUUCUGUUGGAACAUCCUGUCUGUGCGUUUUAAGCCGGACCUGGUUCCGUCUUUAUUAUUCUGUUGGAACAUCCUGUCUGUGCGUUUCACGUCGGACCUGGUUCCGUCUUUAUUAUCUUGUUGGAAUAUCCUGUCUGUGCGUUUUACGCCGGACCUGAUUCCGUUAUUUAUUAUUCUGUUGGAAUAACCUGUCUAUGCGAAGUACCGCAUGCAUGGUGAUUUUUGUUGUUAUUUCAUUCUUUAUUAUACUGUUGGAAUAUCCUGUCGGUGCGUAUUACGCCUGACCUGGUUCCGUUAUUUAUUAUUCAGUUGGAAUAACCUGUCUAUGCGAAGUACCGCAUGCAUGGUGAUUUCUUUUGUUAUUCCAUUUUUUAUUAUACUCAGUUGGUUAAAGUUUUGACUUCUAUACUCCAUGAAAUUAGUGAAAUAUUCUUGAUAUUUGCGCUUCAUCCAGUAUCUUUCAUGAAAAUAUUCUUCUGAGCAUUUUUAAAUUUUACUCUAAAAAGCAGUAUCACGUUGACAAUUUGAACGUUAUUAGUUCUUGAAUAAAUUAAUUCGUGAACUUGUUUUAUUGAAUUCUUAUAUCAUUGUCAUCAUCCUCAUGUUUAUAUUUUUUUGAAAGUCAUUUGUGGCCUGUAGUGCAUAGAUGGACUUGGUAUGAUUAUGACUAGGGAUUAUUCGGUGUAAUCAUGACCGUAAUGUUACAAAUGAUGUGAUAAAAGUCCUCAUUGGCCCGUAGUGCAUUGAUGGACAGUUGUUGACAUGAUCAUGACCAUUGAUGAAUACACGAAUAUCCUUGGCCUGUAGUGCAUGGAUAAUUUGUGGUCGUGAUAUUAAAGAAUAUCUUUGGCCGUAGUGCAGGGGUGAUUCGAUGAUGUGGAUUAUUUAUUAAGCUGAGUCUCAGCGAUAAAAGUGAUGAAAAACUUUUUAAAUCAUAAAAGAUAGUAGAUUUUAUUCUCUACUUGACUCUUUUAAUGGAUUGCUUGACCCGCUGCAGUUAAAACUUGAUGUUUGUUAUAUUGUAUCAGCUUAACACUGUUUAAGGCUAAUGAUAAUUUAUUCUGCAUUAUCUUAGUCAUAAUAUAUCUUAUUGGGCUAGUUGAGCUGACCCUUUCUUUCACUUUUCUCUUCAGGAAAUGAGAACGUAGCUGGGACGAGUCGGGGAACGGAGUGAUAGUCCUAGAUGGUGUAUUAGUAGUCCUCACUAUUCUGUUAAAUAGUGUGGCAAUAAAUAUAAUGAGGACUUAUUCUGAGAGUGGAUAUUGUCUAGAAGACAGUAUUUGUAUUAAAACUCACAGCUCUCUUGUUGUAUUUUAAAGAUUGUAUUUGUAUUUUGUACCAUAUAUUUGACAACUCAGAAUAGGUGUUGUAUACCUAUUUUGGGGGCGUCACAGUUGGUAUCAAAGCUUAGAGAUAUGAUCCAUGGCUAAGGUGUGAGACGAGAACUAGGAGGGGAGAGACGGGGAAUUCCUUAGCUAGUAUGACCUACCUAAGUUUAUUUGAUAUUUAAUUGGUCGGUCAGAGUAUAAGAAUAAUAUGUGA
rnacentral:lncRNA from 1 species